UUUAACUGGUGAACAAACGGAAACGGUCAUUUGUGAAACAGGAGAAGCGCUUGCUGCGUCUUACUCAACUUAACACCCCGCACAUGAAAGCGAAAGCGAGAGCCGCCGACAGUUCGGCUGCAUCCAGCUGACGGUGCGAGUGUCGCCUCUGAGAGCCAUAGGGCGGCGCCCCGCCACAGCCGGCACUCGGGCACCAUAAGCCCCUGGCACCCAUCGCUCCGGCGAUAGUGUGAUGGAGUUCGCCGAGCAUAUCAGGACCGCCAACGUAGAAAACGUGGUUCUCACACAGCAGCUCGGAGCGCCGCUGAAGGGGACGCUUUGUGUUACCGGCCACCACCUGCUGCUGUUCGGCAGGGACGGCGACAGCGCCGCACAGCUUCUGCUUUUGCUCCGGAACAUCGACGCCGUCGAGAAAAGCAGUGUGGAGAACCUGAUGGAGUUCUCGGGCCUGCGCUUAAGUGCAUGGAGCCAGAGUGACAGGGCCAUCGAGUCCUCUGGAACCAUCACUAUUAAGUGCAAGGACUUGCGGAUUCUGCAGCUGGAUAUCCCAGGCAUGGAGGAGUGCCUGAAUGUCGCCAGCUCCAUUGAGGCCCUUUCCUCUCUGGACACUGUGGCGGAUCUAUACCCAUUCUACUACAGACCCUCCCACCUCAGUCUGAAAGGCCCCUGGGGGCUGUCUUUGCCAGUACAAGACUUUGCUGAGCUCAGCGCACAGACUGGAAGGUGGCGGCUGUCGGAGGUGAACAGGGAUUAUUCAGUCUGCCUCUCCUACCCCCCUGCUGUCAUCGUGCCACACACUGUUGAUGACAAUACCUUGAGGAAGGUUGCCAGGUUUCGGCAGGGGGGCAGAUUUCCCGUCCUCUGUUAUUACCACAGACCGAACAACACGGUGAUCAUGCGCAGCAGUCAGCCUCUGCAAGGGGCCAAUAGGAAGCGCUGCAGAGAGGAUGAGUCCCUGCUCCAUGCUGUGAUUGACGGCUUACCCCAAGGAUACAUCAUUGACACUCGUUCAGCACAGCUGGCCCAGCAGGCUCGAGUGAUCGGUGGAGGAUUUGAAUCCAAGGCCAACUAUAGCAAUUGGAAGAGGCUCCAUCGUAAUCUGGAGAGAGGGAAGCCGCUUCUGGAGGCCUUUGUCAAACUGGUAGAAGCUUGCAGUGAUCAGUGGCAGAGUGUGGAGCGCUGGCUGAGUCGUCUGGAGAGCUCCCGCUGGCUAUCCCACGUGCAGAACACACUGUCUGCUGUAGGCCUGCUGGCUGAGUGUGUCGAGAGUCCUCAUGCUAGUGGUCACCCUAAGAGAGACACUGGAGAUAAUGAAGCUAACACCAUAAGGAGGGCAGGGCCUGAUGCUGUAGCUAAUGAAGCUGACGCCAUGAGGAAGGCAGGAUAUGACGCCGGGAGGAAGGCAGGGCCCGACGCCGGAGAUGAUGAAGCCGACGCCGUGAGGAAGGCAGGGCCCCACGCCGGAGAUGAUGAAGCCGACGCCGUGAGGAAGGCAGGGCCCAACGCCGGAGAUGAUGAAGCCGACGCCGUGAGGAAGGCAGGGCCCGACGCCGGAGAUGAUGAAGCCGACGCCGUGAGGAAGGCAGGGCCCCACGCCGGAGAUGAUGAAGCCGACGCCGUGAGGAAGGCAGGGCCCGACGCCGGAGAUGAUGAAGCCGACGCCGUGAGGAAGGCAGGGCCCGACGCCGGAGAUGAUGAAGCCGACGCCGUGAGGAAGGCAGGGCCCGACGCCGGAGAUGAUGAAGCCGACGCCGUGAGGAAGGCAGGGCCCGACGCCGGAGAUGAUGAAGCCGACGCCGUGAGGAAGGCAGGGCCCGACGCCGGAGAUGAUGAAGCCGACGCCGUGAGGAAGGCAGGGCCCCACGCCGGAGAUGAUGAAGCCGACGCCGUGAGGAAGGCAGGGCCCGACGCCGGAGAUGAUGAAGCCGACGCCGUGAGGAAGGCAGGGCCCGACGCCGGAGAUGAUGAAGCCGACGCCGUGAGGAAGGCAGGGCCCCACGCCGGAGAUGAUGAAGCCGACGCCGUGAGGAAGGCAGGGCCCGACGCCGGAGAUGAUGAAGCCGACGCCGUGAGGAAGGCAGGGCCCCACGCCGGAGAUGAUGAAGCCGACGCCGUGAGGAAGGCAGGGCCCGACGCCGGAGAUGAUGAAGCCGACGCCGUGAGGAAGGCAGGGCCCGACGCCGGAGAUGAAGCCGACGCCGUGAGGAAGGCAGGGCCCCACGCUGGAGAUGAUGAAGCCGACGCCGUGAGGAAGGCAGGGCCCGACGCCGGAGAUGAUGAAGCUGACGCCGUGAGGAAGGCAGGGCCCGACGCCGGAGAUGAUGAAGCUGACGCCGUGAGGAAGGCAGGGCCCGACGCCGGAGAAGAUGAAGCUGACACUGUGAGGAAGGCAGGGCCCGACGCCGGAGAUAAUGAAGCUGUUGAAAGCAGGAGAGGGCUGUCCGGUGCUGGUGCACGGCUCAGAGGGCACCGACACCACUCUGCUUCUCACCACCCUGGCCCAGCUCAUUCUCGACCCUCGCUGCCGCACCCUACCUGGCUUCUUGGCCCUGCUGGAGAGGGAGUGGGUGCUGGCUGGACACCCUUUCCAGCAACGCUACACCCAUUCGGCUUACUCGCAUGCCCGGCCCAGGCAGGAGGCUCCCGUGUUCCUGCUGCUCCUCGACUGCGUGUGGCAGCUUCAGCGCCAGUUCCCGCUGGCCAUGGCCUUCGGCGAGCCGCUGCUGCUUCGCCUGGCCCAGGAAGCCUACGCUUCCAAUUUCGGCACCUUCCUCUGCAACAGCGACGCCGAGAGGUGCUAUCAGGCAGUAAAGGAGAAGACACACUGCCUGUUCCAGUUCCUGCUGAGGCCUGAGGAGAGGGAGCGGUUCGCUAACCCCCUGUACCAGCCCACAGAGCUGGCCAUCUGGCCGUCUGUGUACCCACAGUGUGUACAGCUGUGGCAGGGUGGACUUACAGCACCAAGUACCUGCAGGAGGCCAUGGAGGAGAUGCAGAGCCUGCUGGCCAGGAGCACAAGCCAAGGCUGCAGCCCAGAUUCGACAGAGCUGGAGGCAGAAAGGUGUUCGGCCCCCACCCCUGUGGCU